GGGUGCGAUUAUACCAGCACUAAUGCACGAAUCCCAUCAGAACUACGUAGUUAAGCGUGCUUGGUCGAGAGUAGUACUAGGAUGGGUGACCUCUUGGGAAGUCCUUGUGUUGCAGCCC